GGUCGAGGUUUGCGCGUGGAGACGUAGACCGCUGUGCAUAGCUAUGGUGUGGCCGUUGCUGAAGUUGGUAUAACUAGAGAAGCAAGCAGUCGGCAACAUUCAUCUCUCGAGGGGGUGUCUAACUCAGUGUUACGGUGUGUUUGACCAUAUCUUUAAUUUACGCAGGAAUAUACCCUCAAAUGAGCUAACUGUAAUAUUCCGUUAUGUGAAAAUUACAAUAACGCUUAUAUGUGUUGUAGUUUCAUGUACUUCAGUGGGUCUUGCCAUAGAUGGGGCAUCUCAGACAACCAUCUCCUCACACUCAGUGAUUUUAUAAUGAAUUUAUAAAGAACUUUUGAUUAACCAUGUGGUGAUGGGGAAUUAAGUGCAUACAGUGUAAUUUUGUACAGCUUAACUUUUCUCCGAUUGCAACUUAGACUCACAUAAUGACAAUUUAGCUGUUAAACAUUUGGCAUUUGAUUCCAGUUUAAAUUAAAUUACUUACAGAUCCAUGUUAUUCAGAAUGGUCUGAAUAUGCACAAACAUUUGACAUAUAAAUUGUGAAAGGAGCCAAUUUCUGCUGCACCAGACUGUCAGUACAGUAGAAAGAGUAUUUCUCCCUCCCUGCGUAACUCUGGCUCUAUUCACAUGCCUCUCUGCUGCACAUUUUUAUUUAAUGGUGUUUAUGUUUUAAUAGCUGCACCAGACAGAAGCUGCUUGUCUCCAAAGUAAUGUAAAGAACAAGAGAUAGGUCAGAUGAAUACCAUCCACAUAGAGGUCAGAGAGACAGAAAAUGAAUAGCAAUGUGGAUCCCCCAGCAGGCAGUGUGAGAGACGGACUAAUAAGAGCAUAACAGAAGAAGAGAAGGGGGCCCUUGGGAACCAGCAUAAAGGUUUUCAGUACAUUUUUAAAAGAAAGUGGUCUGAAAAUAUAAUGAUGCCUGCUUUGAAAUGCAUCAGUAAUCAGGGAAGGAAUUUGUUCGAGGAUAUGAAGUAGGAUUGAAAUUCCCCAGCUGUGUUGAAGAGCAGGGUUUGUAGGUGGAGGGUUGGGUUGAGAGGGCAAAAGGGGAGAAUAUGGAAUAAGCUAUGUGUGUGCGCCAGAUGGAGGCCUUUGCUUCCUCCUUUUCUUUGCUGCUCUUUUUGCAGGUACGCAGGCUAGAAAUUAUAGAAGGAUGUCUGUAUUUUCUGGCUUUCUUUUCUUUUCCAGAAUUUAUAAUUUAUCAAAAGUACUUCUCAAUACCAGGAACUCAUAAAAAAGGUAAACUAUAUCAGGCAAAAUAAUUUCUAAUGCAAACCCAGAUCUCGGUCAAGAAACAGUAGGCACCAUUCUCUGCUGGUGAAGUGAGGGUUUGAUUUGGUAUUACAUUAUUUCAUAUGUUAAAAGUUGUUAGGAAAAGUGAUUUUAAUCUUAUUUUUAAUCAGAAAUUAAUAAGAAACUUAAAGAUGAGUGUACACUUAAAUAUUGCCUAUCACAGUUCUUUUUCUGCUCGUUUAAUAAUGCCAAAUCUACAUAUUAAUUAAAUCUCAGUUGCCAAAGGGUAAUGAUGCAUCACUCCAUAAAUUGUUUUUUCUAAUUAAUAGAAGUUAGUGAGAGCCAUGUUAUCAUGAAGUGCAGUCUUCUGCAAAUCUGAUGCCCCUUUGGAUGUGAGAAAAUGGGUUGUUAGCAGUCUGGCUGCCUAAUCCUUUGGUUUACAUUGAAAGAGCACAGUGGAAGUAUACAUAGACUUGGUCAGGAAAGACUGUCAGCAGCCUAAACAUUGGUCCAUCAUGUGGCUAAGCUAUCAUUGCAAGGAUAGGAAAUUUGGGAAAAGAGACCAAAAGGUUUUGGUAUUUGCCAGUGACCUUCACUUCUGCUGUACAGACACUGUGAACUCUGUCAAUCAUCAGGAAUGGAGUUAAGUGCAGGUGUAAUCUACUGGUCAGGGCUCCACCACAAACCAGAGGCUGCUGGAGGAGAGUGGGUGAGUUGUGUUUACUCUCUUUGCUAAAGACUCGGUGUUAAAGUGCGUUUGACCAUAACUUAAAUUUACGCCAGAAUAUCCCUUUAACUAACCGGUGACACUUUGACAGUACUUUUUGUGCCUUUUACUGCACUGGGUCAAAUGUAGUGACAUUUUAUAUAUUUGAACUUUUCUCAAAAAGGUGUUAAAAUCUUUGUCUCGUUCGAAAUCUAGGCUCAAGUCUCGCCGUGAGUGUCUCAUCAGACUGAUAGUGAUGGGUAUAUUAAACUCCCUUUUAAAAAAAGCACACUGUCUUGUGACUGUGAACCAAUGCUGCCACUCUGUAAUAGGUCUGUGAAAAGGAUGAGCUGGGAACUCAAACUGGUAGCCUACAGACAGAUGGCUAUUACCUAACAGCUCAUCAUUAAAAGGUUGACUGUGGCAGUACCAGAAUAGAAAUGCUCCAUAGCCGGUCCAAUUUCAUAUAAUUGCCAUCGGCUGAUUGUUUACUGAAGUGCACAUUUCCAGCGUACAUUCAUCAUGGCUCCACUAGAUGUUUUAUUUUAUUAUUUCCUUUAUGUCAUUUUACUGUGGAGCUAUCAUUUAUAAUUUACCGAACCACAUCAUCCCAUCUGCUCUGGCUUGCCUUCAUUGGGUCUCAUCAUCCCCCAAAAGAGUGCCUUUUCCUUUUUGGGAAUGGUUCCCAAUAAUACAUUUCAAUUUCAGGGCAUUCAAUUAUCCCAAUUGCAGAUUGAGAAUUUCCGUCUCCCUGUAUUUAUUUUUGCUGCACAUGUGUUACAGCCCCAGCUCCCUGAUGGCUGUCCCCACACCCUCGGCCUCUUCUUUGAUGUGGAUUAUCACUGAGCUCCAGUAUUGCCCCCGGUCACCCUGUUAGCACCUUUUGAUGUUUCCUCUAACGAUUCCAGAUAGAAUUUCUAAUAAGAGGUCAUUAUCAUUUUGAUUUCUGGCUAAAUGAGGAGAGUGACCUCUGGCAUUUAGUCUUGAUGAUCUAUUUUGAAGGAGAUCUAAUUGAGAUGCUGAUAAUAUUUGAGAGGUUUUAAAUUUGUAAGCAAAGGGGGACUCAGUUCAAGGGAACUGAACAAAAACUAUAUCAAUUUAAGAUCAUAAAAGCAAGAUGCAACACCAGCCGAAUUAACUCUGUGGAGUUUAGCUGUUUUAUGCUGCUUUGUGCUCACUGUUUUGGUUUUGUAAUCCACACAUAGAGUACAUCACUUGUAAUACUUUGUAUAAAAACUACAUUUGAUUGAUUUAAACUAGAGAUUGAAAAUCGUCAGUAUGACUGCUGCAAUUCCAAUGGGGUUUGAAACAGUAGCUACGUUUAAAGCAUUCCCCUCUCUACUGCAACCGUAAAGGGAUAUUCCGGUGUAAAUUUAAGUUAUGGUCACCAUAACACCAAGUUAGACGCCCCCUUGAGAGAUGAAUGUUGCCGACUACUUGCUUCUCUAGUUAUACCAACUUAAGUAACGACCGCAAGCUAGCAAUACACAGCAGUUUGCAUCUCCACACGCAAACCUCAACCAAAAAGCCACUCUGUAACCACAAAUAACGCUCAGAACAGCACCUAACUUCAUCAACAGUACAUAAAGGGUCCCAGCCGUAGCACUAGCCAUCAAACAUCUUUUUAGCUUUGCCUGGUUUCUUUAGCAAAUAGACUUAUCACAACUCUCACCUACUCUCUUCCAGCAGCCACUUGUUUGUGGAGGAGCUCUGAUGAGUCGAUCACUGAGUGCAGCAGAAAAUUUUUGAUUAUUACUUCAUGGAAAUGCAAUCAGACCAAAAUGCUAAGGCAGAAGAACUACCGAUACAAGAUACAAGAUACACAAGAACUCUGAUUGCAUUUCCAUUAAAUAAUAAUCAUAAAUGUUCUUCCUUGAGCUGUGAAACUCCGCUACACUUGUAAUCGGCUUGUUAGGGCUCCCCCACAAACAAGAGGCUACUGGAGGAGAGUGGUUGCAUGUAGGCUGUGCACAAGUGCACAAAGGGUAAAAUAAAUAAUUUGCUUUCUCUCUUAGAACUGAAUCGCCUCUCGUAUGUAUUUUAACUCAAUAAAUUGUUUCUUUUUCAAUUAGUUAAUAUUUGAUUUAAUUGAGUUGUUGGUUUAGGUCUUCCCAAACAGUUAAUAGAUAUAUUUUGAAUUUUAGUUGUCAGCUUUUCUGCUGAGUUGGUCCGAGUUGGAAAGACACAUGUUUAUUUGUGUUGAAAAAGAAGUCUGUAUUUACGUACAUGUCUGUUCUUCCAGGUCUUAUCACCAGAUGCCGUUGAGGGAUUGUAGCAUCUUUCAACAAGCUUUUGGUCCUGCUUUUCCUGUGUGAAUCCAAAGAGCACCUGCUCAUCUUUAAGGGGCUUUAUAUUGUACCAAAGUUCAAAAAGCUUAUUCUUUCUCACUGCUAAAGAGAGGGGUCUUUCAGGACCCUGCAGUGACAAGUACUUUCUCUGCGAGUGUCUUUUUUUUCCAUCAUAGAUUUUUAAACCACCUGUGAUUAGCAUGCUAAUGAUUGGCACUGAAACCCGGAGAGAUCAAGACAAAUGAAGUACUUUCUGGGUGCCUGGAGAUAACAAAUAACCUUUAACAGAUGAAAUGUUCAGCUUCAAAUGAGUAAACUCCUAAUUUUCAGAGCAAUUUGAGAAAAAUACUGAAGUAAUCUUUUCUUUUAUGUUUCAGAGUCACACAUCUGCCUCCAGCUUAUUGUCGUUAAUUAUGCCGAGGACUCAUCUUCUCCUCUUUUGUUAGGAUCCUAGCAGAUCUGCAUAUUCUCUUCCCGGCUCUACUUGAUGUUGUUACCCGCUGCUUGAGUUCUGAGUAGUUCAUUUAGCGAGCCUGGUGGUGCUGCUUUGUCAAAGUGGAGAGAGAUCAAAGGGGCUUAUUAAUGCCCAGGUUUAGGAAGAACAAGAGGAACUCGGUUCAAGCAGUGCACUGCAGCUGCUUUGGCUAGCAUUAAAGUGUCGCAGUCACCUCAGAAACACAAACUUUGGAUAUUAUACAGUGGAAGUAGAGCUUCACCUCGCUCUUCUUAGAGAAUCUGGAAAUAAAGAGAAGCACAGGUACACAUGUGGCCAGGUCACAGUGCUUUUGAGUCAACGAUGAACAAAUAAAAAGUGUGGGUGGGAUGCCUAUGCACAGGGCAGACAUGGUGACUGGAUUCAUAACGGGAACAGUGUCAUGUGUUCAGGAGCCUGUUUGAAGAUACUUAGAAGACUACCUUCGGUUGAGGAUAUUUGCCCUGUAGUUCACAGUGAGGAGAUCUCAGGGACUCAGCCACACAGCACUGGCAAAGGUGUGUUUGCCGAUGUUUUAUUCAAAACCUCAAGUUUAUUUAUUCUUUCUUUUAUAUGUCCCUUUGUUCACUUUCUUCAUGUACUGUCUGGCAUCGCAUCUUUCAGACACACACAUAAACAUGCCAGACACUCGCAGGUUGUGACCCACUGUGCUACAAACCUUGCCUCAGUAGUUGUUAGAGGAGCCCCACCAUUCUCAGACGAUAACCUGCGGUGUGCACACCAGCUCAUCCCUCUCCGUGCACUGCCCCAGGCCACAGACUCUAGACAACCCCUGCCUCUUUACACUCCCCUCAUCCACCUCACUCCUGCACUCUCUUUUUAUUUUCUCUGCCUCUCUCUCUGAAUCUUUUCUCGAUCUUCAGACUGAUUUAAAUCAUUUCAGUUUGCUCAUAUAUUCAGGACACAUUUGCGAGGACAAGUGGUCUCAGAUUUUUACAUCAAACGCAAACAUACAGUAUAACUGCCUUAACUAACCUGAUGAUUGAACAUGCACAACUUACACAACUUUACGAAAUUACAAGCAAAAUUCAUCAUGUUGUUAACUUUACAUCUCUUACAGUUUGUUGAGAUGUGUGUAACAUACAGUUACAGACAACUCAUGACAAAAUCAUCACAUCUUUUUGAGGAGUUGAGAUGUACAGAUCUGCAUCGGUCACUAAUCUUAAUGUUGAAGAGUUAAGCACACUAUUCUGCAGCACCAUAGAUUGAUAAAAAAUGUCAUGUGAACUGAUUUCAAAGAUUUGAUCCAGUUGACUGAAGGUUUUUCUGCUAUUUCCGCAGACUGUGUCCAGCAUCUUCAAUCUUGUGAGACCAUGACAUCGACCUUUUUCAAUUCACAAGAAUGUUGUUAGCAUAGGUGGCUGGUCAGGUAGUGUUAGCUGCCGAUAGGGAUAGGCGAUGAAUCAUCGUUCACGAUUUAUCGUCAGAAAAUUCCUCUGUGAUAAAUAUUUGCCAUCCCACGAUAAACGUGAUAAAUGCAAGUUGAUGACAUAAGCGCAAGCAAGGGACUUGCAGCCGUCCAGACGGAUCAGAAUAACAAACAAACAUGGCUGAAGGUGGUGAAGAAGACGUCUCUGAGCAGCUCAUUACUGGACGACGCUCUACAUUUGGGAUUUCCUUUAAGGUUGGGAUUGAGACGAGUGCAAUCACGUUUGUCUGACAUCAGACAGUGUAUCUGCUCACUCUGUGUAAUAAGAGUUUUCGACAAAUGUUGAAAGUGUUUCACUAGUUUUCUCUAUAACCUACUACUUAAACUUGUGGUUAAGUAUCUUAUUUGACUAUGCCAGCUGGUGUCCUUUAAGACAGAAUGAGUCAAAAACAUAGAUUGGAAUUAUAAUAUUUUUAAUCGGGACUUUUAUUGUUAUUGGCAGAAUGGCAAAACUUAUUAUGAUCAAAUUUUUUCAGCCUAUAUCGCCCAUCCCUAGUUGCCGAUUUAAACUCUGUUCCCCUUGAGAUCAAGUCACAUGGACUUAAUAUAAAGGAUGGAAAGUUUUCUGUAAGUCUGAUUGUCUGUACGAUCUAUAGGAAAGAGAUUAUGUACAUCUGCUGCAAGAAUAAUUUAGAAAGGAAAAUACUUUAUUCAAGCCCAUAUAUUAAAUACUUUUUCUUGCCACAACAUUGUAGAGUCUGGUGUAUAUACACUCACCGGCCACUUUAUUAGGUACACCAUGCUAGUAACGGGUUGGACCCCCUUUUGCCUUCAGAACUGCCUCAAUUCUUCGUGGCAUAGAUUCAACAAGGUGCUGGAAGCAUUCCUCAGAGCGCUUGGUCCAUAUUGACAUGAUGGCAUCACACAGUUGCCGCAGAUUUGUCGGCUGCACAUCCAUGAUGCGAAUCUUCCGUUCCACCACAUCCCAAAGAUACUCUAUUGGAUUGAGAUCUGGUGACUGUGGAGGCCAUUUGAGUACAGUGAACUCAUUGUCAUGUUCAAGAAACCAGUCUGAGAUGAUUCCAGCUUUAUGACAUGGCGCAUUAUUCUGCUGAAAGUAGCCAUCAGAAGUUGGGUACAUUGUGGUCAUAAAGGGAUGGACAUGGUCAGCAACAAUACUCAGGUAGGCUGUGGCGUUGCAACGAUGCUCAAUUGGUACCAAGGGGCCCAAAGAGUGCCAAGAAAAUAUUCCCCACACCAUGACACCACCACCACCAGCCUGAACCGUUGAUACAAGGCAGGAUGGAUCCAUGCUUUCAUGUUGUUGACGCCAAAUUCUGACCCUACCAUCCGAAUGUCGCAGCAGAAAUCGAGACUCAUCAGACCAGGCAACGUUUUUCCAAUCUUCUAUUGUCCAAUUUCAAUGGGCUUGUGCAAAUUGUAGCCUCAGUUUCCUGUUCUUAGCUGAAAGGAGUGGCACCCGGUGUGGUCUUCUGCUGCUGUAGCUCAUCUGCCUCAAAGUUCGACGUACUGUGCGUUCAGAGAUGCUCUUCUGCCUACCUUGGUUGUAACGGGUGGUUAUUUGAGUCACUGUUGCCUUUCUAUCAGCUUGAACCAGUCUGGCCAUUCUCCUCUGACCUCUGGCAUCAACAAGGCAUUUCCGCCCACAGAACUGCCGCUCACUGGAUAUUUUUUCUUUUUCGGACCAUUCUCUGUAAACCCUAGAGAUGGUUGUGCGUGAAAAUCCCAGUAGAUCAGCAGUUUCUGAAAUACUCAGACCAGCCCUUCUGGCACCAACAACCAUGCCACGUUCAAAGUCACUCAAAUCACCUUUCUUCCCCAUACUGAUGCUCGGUUUGAACUGCAGGAGAUUGUCUUGACCAUGUCUACAUGCCUAAAUGCACUAAGUUGCCGCCAUGUGAUUGGCUGAUUAGAAAUUAAGUGUUAACGAGCAGUUGGACAGGUGUACCUAAUAAAGUGGCCGGUGAGUGUAUAAAGACAUUCACAGUCAGCAGACUUAUUUGACCUUACUGUGAAGUGCUGAUGAAGAAUGAUGGCUUUGUGGUUUAUGCCAUUAAUCAGUUGGUGAAAAGACAGCUUUCAACCAAGCUUAACAGAAACUUUUCACCACUAUACAGAAGAGACGGUCACAGAGAUUAUGAGAGGAGAAAGAAACAGUGUCUUGAAUUGGUUUCAUCUUUACAAUUUAACAACAGCAUUGCUUCUUCAGUGUGACACAGUCAGCCCUAUUUUCAGUCUAUUUUUGUUUAAUUGGCUUAAAUCUUUAUUACUUUAACAAUUAAAAAAACCCUGAGUCUGAAGAGAUGGAAGGGCUUUAUUAAGUCUUUGAAUGUAGAUGUGCAGAGAUGUCAAAAUAUCUGUAUUAAGUGCCAAAGUGUAGCCAUUAGUGAUUAAAUAGGUGUCUGGUUAGGGAGAGAUUCAGAACCCUAAUAUCCAUUUUAAAUUAUUUCUCUGAAAGAGCCCUGGCUGUUGUUGUUUCCCCAUGGUUACUGUCGUGCAUUUUUCUUUUAAAUUCAUCUUUAAAAAUAAAUAAAUAAAACGAGGUAAAUAACAAAAUGCCUAUCAGAUAAUAACAUGCUCUCCAUGACAAAAACCUCAGAGUUUUCAGUGCCACACAGUCUUAUAGUCAUGAAGUCAGUGAAAAAAGAGGUUGUGAAAAUGAAAGAAUUUCAGCUUUUUAUACAAAAGGCAACCCUGUAAAUGUACUACUGAGUUGACUCUGUAAAUAGCUCAAAGGUUUUUAUGCAAUGGAAACAGCUUUUCACUCUUAAACUCCUAAGGUCAGGUUCACAGUUAUACUUUUGGGCAAAGGAAAUGUAUAGUGUAGCACAGCCUUCUUUUAAAAUCAGAUGAAUAGAGGCUGAGAAUAAGGGCGCUUUAAAGCUGAAGUAGAGAGAGAUCCUGGACCAUAUCUUUUGAAUAAACAUCAUUUUUUGUUUGUUUAUAUAAUUUCAUCUUGUAAAUGGUUAUGACAGCCUCUGCUACUCUAAAUGUGGCACAAUGACAAAUUAUUUUCUUAAAUAGAGUUUUUUAUAUUCAUUGCAUAUUUCCUGACAAACAGGUAAUGUAUGCUCAGAUUGUUAUUAUUGCUUUUGGAUAGUUUCUGGUGUUUGCUGACUGAAACCUCAUUUCCUGGCGAAGCAGGUGAAAUAAAACAGCGGAAACUAACCAUUUAAGCACCUCAGUGUUUUGAUGAUCAGUAUGUGUGCUCUAGUUACUUGAUCACUACCUCCUCCACACUUUAAAACACAAGUAACACUGUUCUUUUAUUACUGGCCAUAGAUGUAAUGGCUUUAGCUGAGAGCUUGCAUUUUUGAAAGGCUGUCUGUUAAAGGGUUUCUAAUGAUGCUCAUGCUAGACUCAAUGUUGAAGAAUAGACGUCUGCCCCUUUAUGACAACUGAUAACCUCAGGUUUCACAAAAGACUUGCUGUCUUUUGACAUCUCAACACAUCCGGCAGUUCGCCCAAAGACCUUGACAUUCAAUUAGCUCUAAUAAACUGUAAUAUUGUCCUAUUUGAAUCAGCUUCUGAUUCUGCAUAAUAGUAUAAUUCUGGAUGGGUUUGAUUACAACUGAGCCUGUGACUGAAAGAGGGGCAAGAGUUCAACCGGAGAGGUAUGCCUGUCUGUGAAUAGACCAGCUUUCUUUGCUAGUUUUAUUGGUCUAAUGUGGAAAUUGAGCAAAAGAUGUGCAAAUUGAUGAAUCAACUUUUUAUCGUCUAUUAAGUUUUGGAAGGUCAGGCACAAUGAACAAGGCGGUCAUAGCAGCUGACAUCGCCGAGCGCCCAAUUAGAUGAGGUCCUUGAAGUGAUAAGCUGCAUUGAAGCACUAAAGCAAUGUGACCUUGAAAUCAUAGUCGCGAUUAGUUUAAGCUGACCUGGCUAGCAGUGCUGGCUCCUCAUUUACAGGCUGUUCUUACACUAUGAGCAGCAUCCUGUCUGCAAGUGUUUGGCAUGUGCUCAAAUGCAGUCUAAUUACAAAAGCAUUGUCGUCAUGGUUUUGUUUAUUGAGUUGACAGUGAAGAAGUCUGUCUUUCCUCUCUCAUUCCUCACAGUUUGGCUGUCUUCUCCCCAUCCUCUCCUUACUCACUAUGGUGGUAACGCAUCGAAAAGGAGAACCAAAGUCACGCCACAUUAGUUUUGUGGUGGCUGUUGUUGCAGAGAGCCAUUACUCUUCCCUGACAGUAUCAAAGAGAGCAGCAGAGCCGGGCUGCGUCUCGUCUCCCGCUCUCUCUCUCACCAUGCACCACUCGCAGGAAAUUGCCUCAUACUUCAGCAGGCAGGAGGUGAAACGGCAGCGACACCCAUGCAUGUGUCACUUUCUGGGCUCAAGGCUUGGGUGGGAGUGGGCUUUGGUGUCACACACAAAUGUUGGCUUGAGAGCGGUAGAGGAGCAAAGCCCAAGGGAGGAGAGACCAGGCAGUGCAACAGAAACUGAACUCUGGUUGUAUACAGUGGUGAUGAUUUCUUAGAGUUUGGAGGCUAUUCAGACUAGACUCAACUAUAACACUACACUUAGGAUUUUGACUCAUCCAUGUGUGUGUUGUGGAUGUUGUAAAAAGUUAAUUCUGUUGUCCUUGGAAAAAUGGCAAACAUAGCUGGCAUGAAGAGUGCAUAGACCAGUAGUUUUACAAGAACUUUUGGACAGAGGCGACCUAACCACUAUAAAUAUAUUGGUUUUCUUUUAAUAAUAUAGAAAUAGUCAAAAGUGAAAUGAACAGCGUGUAAGACAAACAUGAAGAGAUCAGUGAGAGAGGAGAAAAUGGAUUUUUAAGAAUUAGGCAGGGGCUGUAAUGACUUCUGACCUGUAAUUUAUGCCGACAGAGUGAUGGUGUUUUUGAGCAUCUAUAGGGAAAUAUUUGUCAUUUUCAAGCUUCAACGCUUUUUUAGUGUACUGGACUGCCUCUUGUUUGCAGAGAAAUGCAUGCACCAUAUUAUAGAGAUAGGUGGUGAAUCUUUGUCAGUGAUGGGUGGGGGGUGUGCCAUUCCAUCUUCGCUCGCAUCUCGCCACACUGCGCCCAUCAUUCUCUGCAGAUGUCCUGGGAGGACAAAUGUUUAUUGCUAUUAUAAAGCAGCCUUUGUUGUGAUCGUGUGUGCUCUCUGUCCCUGUCUCCUUGUUUCUGCUCUCCUUUCAUUUUGUGUUGGGCUGGGCUGGGAGGGGUGUGUGUGUGUGCAGGAGGGGGGUGAAGCCUGCUGCCUCUGCAGCUCUGUGAUUAGAAAGGGAGGGAGAGAGAGAGUGCUUCUCAGCAGGACUCUCUGUUUUAUAUUCAUCAAAAGAGCUGCCUUUGAUUUGCUCCCUCUUUGACGUGUGACAGCAUGGACUGCAGCACCACACUGCUGCUAAGGAAAUCAUGCACUUACCCCCCCUCCCCUCCUUCAACACCACCCUAACCCAAGUCCCCCCGCCCCACCCUUUCACCCUUCUCUCCUUCCUGCCAUUCUCCAGCCAUGCCCCCUCCCAACCCACUGAUUACAGUCCACCACGAUAUCCCCACCACCUCCACCCCCUACAGUCUAACC